rnacentral:rRNA from 1 species
GAUUAACGCUGGCGGCGUGCAUAACACAUGCAAGUCGAACGAUGAAACUUAACUGAUUUCUUCGGAAUGAUUUUAAGUGGAUUAGUGGCGGACGGGUGAGUAACGCGUGAGUAACCUGCCUUGGAGAAGGGGAUAGCCUUUGGAAACGAAGAAUAAUACCCUAUGAUAUGAUAAUAUCUCAUGAUAUUAUCAUCAAAGAUUUAUCGCUCUAAGAUGGACUUGCGUCUGAUUAGUUAGUUGGUGAGGUAACAGCUCACCAAGGCAGCGAUCAGUAGCCGGCUUGAGAGAGUGUACGGCAACAUUGGGACUGAGACACGGCCCAGACUCCUACGGAAGGCAGCAGUGGGGAAUUUGGCACAAUGGGGGAAACACUGAUGCAGCGACGCCGCGUGAUUUAGAAGGCCUUCGGGUUGUAAAAAUCUUUUGUAUGGGAAGAAAAUGACAGUACCAUACGAAUAAGGACCGGCUAAUUACGUG